rnacentral:lncRNA from 13 species
CUUUUGAUAUAUUAUCAACUGAAAUUUUCAUCUGUUUCAUAGGAGAAUUGCAGUAUUUUUGAACAAACACAACCAAGACUCAUCAUUUCACAGCAAGGACAAGAAAAUAGAAAUCUCAAUGGUAGACUCACAUUGAAGGAAAAUAAUUAAAAGCUUCUCAUCUUUACUGUUAAAAUGUACAUCAGAAGAACUGGAUAUAAUUACAUAGGCAUAGAAUUUAGCUGUGAAGAAGUAUUGCUGUUCUGUGGAGCUGAAGUUCUUGCAGGAUUGGCCCUACAUGGUAGGAAACAUACAACUGAUGCAUUCUGUGAGUUGCAGUAUG